AUAGAGGAGGAGAGAUCCAACAACUAAGCCCAGUAAGAGACAAUAUAGAGGAGGAGAGAUCCAACAACUAAGCCCAGUAAGAGACAAUAUAGAGGAGGAGAGAUCCAACAACUAAGCCCAGUAAGAGACAAUAGAGAGGAGGAGAGAUCCAACAACUAAGCCCAGUAAGAGACAAUAUAGAGGAGGAGAGAUCCAACAACUAAGCCCAGUAAGAGUAAAGAGGAGGAGAGAUCCAACAACUAAGCCCAGUAAGAGACAAUAUAGAGGAGGAGAGAUCCAACAACUAAGCCCAGUAAGAGACAAUAGAGAGGAGGAGAGAUCCAACAACUAAGCCCAGUAAGAGACAAUAGAGAGCUUUGAUGGAGUACAAUAGCUCCCCUAGGCACCAUGUGAUGUCCGUGUGCCCCAUUCUUGCUCUCCUGGCUCGGUUUCGAGAGGGCGAGAGAGAGAGAGAGACAGAAAGUGGCAUUGGGCCAUAGACAUGGGGCAGUGUGUUGUUAGAGGCAUAUCAGUGAUGUUGUGGUAAAUAACAAUACGUAGGUAAACUGAUCCCUGUUUGUGGUGAGUAAAGUAACGCUCUAUAUAUUUUCAAAGCAUUAUUCUGCAAUAGGUGGGUAAAUGCUUACGCAGAAUACAAAAGGUGUGUAAGCUGCGAUCACGUGAAUUUACCCUCCACUAAACCACUGAGUCAUAUGACAGUUAUUGGUGAACAGUAGUAUCUCUGUGUGUUGAUGAAGUGGUGGGCACUGAUCCAAAGUAGUGCACUAAAUAGGUAAUACACUCUUAGAAAAAAGCCUUCCAAAAGGGCUCUUCUCCUGUCCCCAUAGGAGAACAUUCUGGUUCCAGGUAACACCCUUUUUGGUUCCAGGUAGAUGGCACCUUUUUUUUCUAGAAGUGUAAGGUGCCAUUUCAGAUGCGGAAAUUGGUUGAAUCAACGUUGUUUCCACGUCAUUUCAACAACCCAAAAAGUAUUUGUGAUGACAUUGAAUCAAUGUGGAAAUGUUUAAAUGAAACAAUCGUUCAUCACUCUUAAAUAAG
rnacentral:lncRNA from 1 species